UACGAAGGACCCGAGCGUUAUCCGGAUUUAUUGGGUUUAAAGGGUGCGUAGGCGGGUUAUUAAGUCAGUGGUGAAAGCCUACAGCUUAACUGUAGAAUUGCCAUUGAUACUGAUAAUCUUGAGUAUGAUUGAGGUGGGCGGAAUGUGUCAUGUAGCGGUGAAAUGCUUAGAUAUGACACAGAACACCGAUUGCGAAGGCAGCUCACUAAGCCAUAACUGACGCUGAUGCACGAAAGCGUGGGGAGCAAACAGG
rnacentral:rRNA from 1 species